rnacentral:tRNA from 3 species
GGAGAGGUGGCCGAGUGGUUGAAGGCGCAGCACUGGAAAUGCUGAGUAGGAGUUAAACUCUUACCGUGGGUUCAAAUCCCACCCUCUCCG